CAGUAAACCUAAAUAUUUUAAAGGCACACAAUCCCAUCCAGACUUAGAAGUUAAGUAGGGCUAACCCAGUUAGUACUUGAAUGGGUGACUGCCAAAGAACACUAGAUGCUGUGCUAU
rnacentral:rRNA from 1 species